rnacentral:tRNA from 9 species
UCCUCGAUGGCGCAAUCGGCAGCGCGGGUGGCUGUUAACCACUAGGUUCGAGGUUCGAGUCCUCGUCGAGGAGCCA